UGGGGAAUAUUGCACAAUGGGCGAAAGCCUGAUGCAGCAACGCCGCGUGAGUGAUGAAGGUCUUCGGAUUGUAAAGCUCUGUCUUUUGGGACGAUAAUGACGGUACCAAAGGAGGAAGCCACGGCUAACUACGUGCCAGCAGCCGCGGUAAUACGUAGGUGGCGAGCGUUGUCCGGAUUUACUGGGCGUAAAGGGUGCGUAGGCGGAUGUUUAAGUGAGAUGUGAAAUACCCGGGCUUAACUUGGGUGCUGCAUUUCAAACUGGAUAUCUAGAGUGCAGGAGAGGAGAAUGGAAUUCCUAGUGUAGCGGUGAAAUGCGUAGAGAUUAGGAAGAACACCAGUGGCGAAGGCGAUUCUCUGGACUGUAACUGACGCUGAGGCACGAAAGCGUGGGUAGCAAACAGGAUUAGAUACCCUGGUAGUC
rnacentral:rRNA from 1 species